UGGCGACCGGCGCACGGGUGCGUAACGCGUAUGCAACCUACCUUUAACAGGGGGAUAACACUGAGAAAUUGGUACUAAUACCCCAUAAUAUCAUAGAAGGCAUCUUUUAUGGUUGAAAAUUCCGAUGGUUAGAGAUGGGCAUGCGUUGUAUUAGCUAGUUGGUGGGGUAACGGCUCACCAAGGCGACGAUACAUAGGGGGACUGAGAGGUUAACCCCCACAUUGGUACUGAGACACGGACCAA
rnacentral:rRNA from 1 species